rnacentral:ncRNA from 1 species
AAAUUAUAAGAAGGGACUCAACACAGAAAAUUCAUUUUAUUGAAUUUUACAUUUAUGUGCAAGUUGGGCAAAGUGUCUUAUUUUUUAAAAGUAUUUCAAAGUAAAAUUACAUGUUAAUACGUAGUAUUAAUGGCGAGACUCCUGAGGGAGCAGUGCCAGUCGAAGACCAAGGCUGAGACGGCACCCUAGGAAAGCGAAGCCAUUCAAUACGAAGUAUUGUAUAAAUAGAGAACAGCAG